UACGGGGGGGGCAAGCGUUGUUCGGAAUUACUGGGCGUAAAGGGCUCGUAGGCGGCCAACUAAGUCAGACGUGAAAUCCCUCGGCUUAACCGGGGAACUGCGUCUGAUACUGGAUGGCUUGAGAUUGGGAGAGGGAUGCGGAAUUCCAGGUGUAGCGGUGAAAUGCGUAGAUAUCUGGAGGAACACCGGUGGCGAAGGCGGCAUCCUGGACCAACACUGACGCUGAGGAGCGAAAAGCCAGGGGAGCAAAGCGGG
rnacentral:rRNA from 1 species